rnacentral:rRNA from 1 species
GGGGCAACCUGGCGGCGAGUGGCGAACGGGUGAGUAAUAUAUCGGAACGUACCCUGGAGUGGGGGAUAACGUAGCGAAAGUUACGCUAAUACCGCAUACGAUCUAAGGAUGAAAGUGGGGGAUCGCAAGACCUCAUGCUCCUGGAGCGGCCGAUAUCUGAUUAGCUAGUUGGUAGGGUAAAAGCCUACCAAGGCAUCGAUCAGUAGCUGGUCUGAGAGGACGACCAGCCACACUGGAACUGAGACACGGUCCAGACUCCUACGGGAGGCAGCAGUGGGGAAUUUUGGACAAUGGGCGAAAGCCUGAUCCAGCAAUGCCGCGUGAGUGAAGAAGGCCUUCGGGUUGUAAAGCUCUUUUGUCAGGGAAGAAACGGUGAGGGCUAAUAUCCCUUGCUAAUGACGGUACCUGAAGAAUAAGCACCGGCUAACUACGUGCCAGCAGCCGCGGUAAUACGUAGGGUGCAAGCGUUAAUCGGAAUUACUGGGCGUAAAGCGUGCGCAGGCGGUUUUGUAAGUCUGUCGUGAAAUCCCCGGGCUCAACCUGGGAAUGGCGAUGGAGACUGCAAGGCUGGAGUUUGGCAGAGGGGGGUAG